UCCGUAGGGUGCAAGCGUUGUCCGGAAUUAUUGGGCGGAAAGAGCUCGUAGGCGGUUUGUCGCGUCGAAUGUGAAAUCCCGGGGCUCAACCCCGGGUCUGCAUUCGAUACGGGCAGACUAGAGUUCGGUAGGGGAGUCUGGAAUUCCUGGUGUAGCGGUGAAAUGCGCAGAUAUCAGUCGGAACACCGGUGGCGAAGGCGGCUUCUUGGGCCGUUCCUGACGCUGAGGCGCGAAAGCUGGGGGAGCGAACGGG
rnacentral:rRNA from 1 species